GUGAGGAAUAUUGGACAAUGGAUGGAAAUCUGAUCCAGCCAUGCCGCGUGCAGGAAGACGGCCCUAUGGGUUGUAAACUGCUUUUAUACGGGAGCAAUAAGGUCUAUGCAUAGAUUGAUGAGAGUACCGUAUGAAUAAGCAUCGGCUAACUCCGUGCCAGCAGCCGCGGUAAUACGGAGGAUGCGAGCGUUAUCCGGAUUUAUUGGGUUUAAAGGGUGCGUAGGCGGCUUUGUAAGUCAGCGGUGAAAUUUUGCAGCUUAACUGUAAAAGCGCCGUUGAUACUGUGAAGCUAGGAUUUGGUUGCUGUGGGCGGAAUGUGUGGUGUAGCGGUGAAAUGCAUAGAGAUCACACAGAAUAUCGAUUGCGAAGGCAGCUCACAAAGCCAAUAUUGACGCUGAGGCACGAAAGUGUGGGGAUCAAACAGGAUUAGAAACCCCUGUAGUCC
rnacentral:rRNA from 1 species